ensembl:snoRNA SNORD92 small nucleolar RNA, C/D box 92
UUUCUGUGACGAUACUUUCAACGGUGGUUUCAGCUUCCUGACAGUUGAAUGAGGACGUUGAAUUCCUUGGCUGUGUCUGAGAAU